UGCACGUUGGCCUAAGGACUAUGGUGGU
rnacentral:piRNA from 1 species